GGCCACCCAAAAUGUAAGUCACUUUGGAUAAGAGUGUCUGCUAAAUGGCAACAC
rfam:Salmo salar isolate Sally breed double haploid chromosome ssa09, whole genome shotgun sequence.